AUGAGCAAGGCCCCGCCGCCGCGCUGCUGCGCAGACGGGGUCUGGGAGCCACCGGCCCGCACACGGCAGGCACCUGCCCACGGCCACGCACGGGCCCGCGGGGCGCCCGGGGAGCUUCCCUGCCGAGGUCCCGCGCCCAGCCUCGCCUUCCCUCCGCACGCCAAGGAAGGUCCCCGGGCCGCCGGUCGGCAGGUCCCCCAGGAGGCUGCUGCGCCUUCCCGCCCAACACGCGGAGACGGGGCGCAGACACGGGCACCCCCGACCCGCCCGCGCUUGGGUCUCCAACGCCCCCACCCCUGCCGGCCUCACCUGGCGCCCCGGGGCGCACUGCCGCUGCGGCCACGUCUGCAGGGACAGGGCUGUCCCCACCGCAGCUCACGGACUCACGGGACAGGAGUGAGCCUCCCGCCGGACAGCUGGCGCCAGAGGGGCAGGCGGGCGCCCCAGGCCGGCGGUGCCACAUGCUGGACGCCGGAGCCCCCACCGCCCCGUCCAUGGGGGGCCCCGCCCCAGCCCCUGCCUGGCUCCGGGCAGCUCACUGGAUGGACAAGGUCAACUCGUCACAGAGAACUCUUGGGAGGCGGCCGGAACCAGGCCUCUGACCCCUGUCACAGCCAGGGCUGGGGGCGCGGGGGUCGCCCGGCGGAGGGACCCGGGGCACGGGGGAGGCCGCGGCCGGAGCCAUCUACCCGCCGGCCGAGGACCGUGACCUGGGGCUCUGUGGGGCACCCCGCGGAGCGAGGGGGUCUGCCCCCCGUGGGGGUCCCGCUGCAUCCCAGCCCCGGGGAGGCCGGAGCCCACCCGUCGAGCAGGAAGGGCCGCUCCCCGAGGGCACAGGCUCGCAGCGCCCGGACGCGAGCGGCCACGCAGCAAGCACGAGCCCGGGCCCUGCGGAGCGGCGGUGCCGGCGCCCUGACCUCGCACACGGGCCGCAGCCGGCCCAGCGGGACCCGCACGUACGGCCGGAGCCCGAGCCCCCCCGCCCCCCCAGGUCGCCCGGCCCGCACCGGCCGCCUGCGCCCCUCGGCCCGGCCCCGCCAGGUGUGCGCCCAGCACGGGGCCGCCCGGGUGAGGCCCCGCCGUGGGCUCCGCUCAGCCAACCCGACGCUUGGGCUGUUCUCCCGGGUCGGUCUCUGCGUAGCUCUGCACCCCCACCCCCGCCGUUACCGCGUACGGGACAGAAAAAGGGGGCGGGGAGAGAGCCCCCCCCACCCCGGGACCAGCCGGGGCAGCUCCUGUCCCUGCACAGGUGCCCAUUUGGGUUCAGCCCGACGACGCAGCUCCCGGGCCGGGCCUUCAGGGUCUCGGCCUCGUUCCACCUUAGGGAGCGGCCCUGGCCUCGCUGCCCCGGGAGUUUCCUCCGAAGGCCACAGCUCCCGGAGACCCUGCUGA
rnacentral:lncRNA from 12 species